GUGAACGCUGGCGGUAGGCCUAACACCUGCAAGUCGAACGGCAGCACAGUAAGAGCUUGCUCUUACGGGUGGCGAGUGGCGGACGGGUGUGGAAUACAUCGGAAUCUACUUUUUCGUGGGGGAUAACGUAGGGAAACUUACGCUAAUACCGCAUACGACCUACGGGUGAAAGCAGGGGAUCUUCGGACCUUGCGCGAUUGAAUGAGCCGAUGUCGGAUUAGCUAGUUGGCGGGGUAAAGGCCCACCAAGGCGACGAUCCGUAGCUGGUCUGAGAGGAUGAUCAGCCACACUGGAACUGAGACACGGUCCAGACUCCUACGGGAGGCAGCAGUGGGGAAUAUUGGACAAUGGGCGCAAGCCUGAUCCAGCCAUACCGCGUGGGUGAAGAAGGCCUUCGGGUUGUAAAGCCCUUUUGUUGGGAAAGAAAAGCAGCAGGUUAAUACCCCGCUGUUCUGACGGUACCCAAAGAAUAAGCACCGGCUAACUUCGUG
rnacentral:rRNA from 1 species